rnacentral:rRNA from 1 species
GAUGAACGCUGGCGGCGUGCCUAAUACAUGCAAGUCGCGCGAACGGACGAGAAGCUUGCUUCUCUGAUGUUAGCGGCGGACGGGUGAGUAACACGUGGAUAACCUACCUAUAAGACUGGGAUAACUUCGGGAAACCGGAGCUAAUACCGGAUGAUAUUUUGAACCGCAUGGUUCAAAAGUGAAAGACGGUCUUGCUGUCACUUAUAGAUGGAUCCGCGCUGCAUUAGCUAGUUGGUAAGGUAACGGCUUACCAAGGCAACGAUGCAUAGCCGACCUGAGAGGGUGAUCGGCCACACUGGAACUGAGACACGGUCCAGACUCCUACGGGAGGCAGCAGUGGGGAAUCUUCCGCAAUGGGCGAAAGCCUGACGGAGCAACGCCGCGUGAGUGAUGAAGGUCUUCGGACCGUAAAACUCUGUUAUUAGGGAAGAACAUAUGUGUAAGUAACUGUGCACAUCUUGACGGUACCUAAUCAGAAAGCCACGGCUAACUACGUG